CGGUUAUCACUGUCUCCCAGUAAGACCUUAAUUUUUUGAAGCCUGCCCUUCAUGACCUCGAACUGAUGGCUAAACUCAAUUACAUAUUGAGCAUGGUUGGUAGCGACUGUCAACAGUUGCUGCACCAGUGGAGAAAUCAAAGCAUCUACACUUGCCAUGAUCUUAUCUGUACUUUUACCUCGCCUGGAAUGAAACCGUGUCUAUCUGGCCUUCGAACGAAAGCAAAGAUAUACAGUAAGUUGACAGGAAUACGAAGAGUAAGCAAUUCAG
rnacentral:misc_RNA from 1 species